AUUGAACGCUGGCGGCAUGCCUUACACAUGCAAGUCGAACGGCAGCGCGGACUUCGGUCUGGCGGCGAGUGGCGAACGGGUGAGUAAUACAUCGGAACGUACCCUGUUGUGGGGGAUAACUAGUCGAAAGAUUAGCUAAUACCGCAUACGACCUGAGGGUGAAAGUGAGGGACCGCAAGGCCUCACGCAGCAGGAGCGGGCGAUGUCUGAUUAGCUAGUUGGUGGGGUAAAGGCCCACCAAGGCGACGAUCAGUAGCUGGUCUGAGAGGACGAUCAGCCACACUGGGACUGGGACGCGGCCCAGACUCCUACGGGAGGCAGCAGUGGGGAAUUUUGGACAAUGGGGGCAACCCUGAUCCAGCAAUGCCGCGUGUGUGAAGAAGGCCUUCGGGUUGUAAAGCACUUUUGUCCGGAAAGAAAUCGCGCUGGUUAAUACCUGGCGUGGAUGACGGUACCGGAAGAAUAAGCACCGGCUAACUACGUGCCAGCAGCCGCGGUAA
rnacentral:rRNA from 1 species